rnacentral:rRNA from 1 species
UACGUAGGGGGCAAGCGUUAAUCGGAAUUACUGGGCGUAAAGCGUGCGCAGGCGGUGAUGUAAGACAGGUGUGAAAUCCCCGGGCUUAACCUGGGAACUGCAUUUGUGACUGCAUCGCUGGAGUGCGGCAGAGGGGGAUGGAAUUCCACGUGUAGCAGUGAAAUGCGUAGAGAUGUGGAGGAACACCGAUGGCGAAGGCAGCCCCCUGGGCUAACACUGACGCUCAGGCACGAAAGCGUGGGGAGCAAACAGG